GUGAGGAAUUUUCCGCAAUGGGCGAAAGCCUGACGGAGCAAUGCCGCGUGAAGGAUGAAGGCCUAUGGGUUGUAAACUUCUUUUCUUAGAGAAGAAUAUUGACGGUAUCUGAGGAAUAAGGAUCGGCUAACUCCGUGCCAGCAGCCGCGGUAAUACGGAGGAUCCAAGCGUUAUCCGGAAUCAUUGGGUUUAAAGGGUCCGUAGGCGGUUUAAUAAGUCAGUGGUGAAAGCCCAUCGCUCAACGAUGGAACGGCCAUUGAUACUGUUAGACUUGAAUUACAAGGAAGUAACUAGAAUAUGUAGUGUAGCGGUGAAAUGCUUAGAUAUUACAUGGAAUACCAAUUGCGAAGGCAGGUUACUACUUGUGGAUUGACGCUGAUGGACGAAAGCGUGGGGAGCGAACAGGAUUAGAUACCCUGGUAGUCC
rnacentral:rRNA from 1 species